UGGGGAAUAUUGCACAAUGGGCGAAAGCCUGAUGCAGCAACGCCGCGUGAGCGAUGAAGGCCUUCGGGUCGUAAAGCUCUGUCCUCAAGGAAGAUAAUGACGGUACUUGAGGAGGAAGCCCCGGCUAACUACGUGCCAGCAGCCGCGGUAAUACGUAGGGGGCUAGCGUUAUCCGGAAUUACUGGGCGUAAAGGGUGCGUAGGUGGUUUCUUAAGUCAGAGGUGAAAGGCUACGGCUCAACCGUAGUAAGCCUUUGAAACUGGGAAACUUGAGUGCGGGAGAGGAGAGUGGAAUUCCUAGUGUAGCGGUGAAAUGCGUAGAUAUUAGGAGGAACACCAGUUGCGAAGGCGGCUCUCUGGACUGUAACUGACACUGAGGCACGAAAGCGUGGGGAGCAAACA
rnacentral:rRNA from 1 species